rnacentral:rRNA from 1 species
GAUGAACGCUAGCGGCAGGCCUAAUACAUGCAAGUCGAACGGGAUCAGGGAGCUUGCUCCCUGUGAGAGUGGCGCACGGGUGCGUAACACGUAUGCAACCUACCUUUAACUGGGGGAUAGCCUUCCGAAAGGAAGAUUAAUACCGCACAACAUAAUUGAAUGGCAUCAUUUGAUUAGCACACGUCAGGGUUGAAGAUGGGCAUGUGUCCGAUUAGCUGGUUGGUGUGGUAACGGCACACCAAGGCGACGAUCGGUAGGGGAUCUGAGAGGAUGACCCCCAACACUGGCACGGAGACACGGACCAGCGUCCGCCGGGAGGCAGCAGUAAGGAAUAUGGGUCAAGGGACGCAAGUCUGAACCAGCCAUGGCGAGUGCGGGAUUACGGUCCUCUGGAUUUUAAACUGCUUUUGUAAGGGAAGAAACCCUCGGAUGCGUCCGGGGCUGACGGUACCUAAAGAAUAAGGAUCGGCUAACUCCGUGCCAGCAGCCGCGGUAACAC